AAAAAAAAAAAGGGAAAAAGGAAGAUGAGAACAGCUGGGAUCCAUAUUAGAAGAAGAUGAACCUGGACCGAAUUUCUUUCAGAGACACCAACUCCUAUGCUCAUGGGUGUGAAAGGCAAGACUAAAGGUUUGCAGCUGAGAAUAUAAUGUUUCAUGACUUUAGGGUGGAGAGGAAGGUUUUGAGACAGAACACAAAGAGUGCUAAUUGCAAAGGAAAUUAUUGAUAAUUUCAACCAUAUUAAAAUCAAGAAUAAGUCUUAGUAAAAAAGACGCUGUAAAGAGAAUUAAUUAAAAGACAAGCCACAGAAUGGGAGACAGUAUUUUCAACACAUGUAACCAACAAAGAUCCCACGUUCAGAUCAGACAGAACCCUGACAAAUCACUGAGAACAAGGCCACGAAGGAAACGUUUGCAAAACAUUCAAGCAAUACGUUCUAGGGAGAAAAUUCAAAUGACUGAGAAAUACAUAAAAUGGUCUUCAACCUAAUUAUUAAAUUGGAACGAUGAAGACAGAAGCCAUAUGACAUUCAGCAGCUCACCUGCUAGACGGGCAAAAACCGGAGGCACCGACUCCAGGCGCAGCUGCGAUGUGGGGCCGGGAGUCCCUGGAAGCUCCUGGCGGUGAUACACAAGCUCUGAGCUCCUUGGGGCCUUGCACGGCAGUGGAACAAUGGAAUUAACCAUGACGGGGCGACUCGGAUCAUCUCACAGACAUGAAGCUGAGUGAAAGAAGUAAGGUGUAAAAGACGACAGGCCUGUGAAUCUGGUGCAGAGGCAGGUGCGGCCAUGAGGACAACUUCCAUCAAGUCGGCUGUGGCUCCCCACGAAGGUGGUGCUGAGUCCCACAAAGGAACCUGGAAUCCAGCUGAGUGGGCACGUGCUGCCCGUCACGGCCCUGCAUGUCCUGAACAUCUGUUGAGAGGAGGCGGGGGUGUCACCUUAAUUCCAUCCGGGAUGCCACAGUGACACAGUGCAAAGUGCCGUGCCCCUCAUCCCCGCAGAUACGUGGCGUCCCACUGGUCUCCUAACCACCCAGCGCUGUUGCUCCUGACCAUUGGAAAUGCUGGAGGGGCUGGAGCACCUGGACAGUCCGGUCUCAUUCUAAUGGCUGGACUGGAGUGGGGUUGCCUCGAACCUGUCUUAGGCUGCAAAUGCCCCCAGCGGCAGAGCCAGGGGGACCCUCACCGGGGCCUGCCCUGGGAGCCCCGGGGGACACUUCUCGGGUCAGCUCUGAUCUCAAGGUGGGACCGCCCCGUGCCUUUGGCCCGGGAGUGGGGGCUGCAGGAGGAACCCCUCAUGUGGUGGCCCUCCCAUCUGAGGGGCGCCCCUGGGGGCCUCAAAUUCAGCAUCGGGCUCCAGUGAAGACUCAGCUCCUCUGGGGGGGACCCCUGCCCGCCCCACCCUCCUGCCCUGCGGCGCUGCCCAGGCCUGGGUCUGCGGAGACGUCUGUUUGCCUCUGGCCUGAUGAAAGCGGUGUGGAAACCAAGCUCCCUCCGCCUCCCCACAUCGCUGCUCUCUUUGAGGGGUUUUCGUGCUGACUUACCGUUUUCUCUAAUUAGGAAACAAUACGUGGCUAUUAUGAAACGUUUAGAAAAUGUAUAAUAAAUAAAAAAAUAAUGUUACCGUUCUGAUUUA